UGGUUCGUGUGUGACCGUGUGCGUCCACGCGCACUGUGAGACCUCAUAGUAAUGUUUGUGAAUACGGGCGUAAGUGUGCUUUGGCAGUACGGAGAGUCAUACAAAUAAUACUGACCGCCACGAGUUGAUGCGGUUACGAUCCGUUUCCUGGUUGAUAAGUGUGCUUCGUCCUUUAAUAUGGUGGUAGGUAGGUAUAGCCUGGUCCGUGAGCACGUAGAAUCCCGUCCA